rnacentral:rRNA from 1 species
UACGUAGGAGGCAAGCGUUGUCCGGAAUUACUGGGCGUAAAGCGCGUGUAGGUGGUGGGACAAGUCUGCUGUGAAAGCGCCUGGCUUAACCGGGCGAGGUCGGCGGAAACUGUCGCACUCGAGGACGGUAGAGGGGGGUGGAAUUCCCGGUGUAGUGGUGAAAUGCGUAGAGAUCGGGAGGAACACCAGUGGCGAAGGCGGCUACCUGGACCAGCACUGACACUGAGGCACGAAAGCGUGGGGAGCAAACAGG